rnacentral:rRNA from 1 species
GGGUUGUGAGGUUAAGCGACUAAGCGUACACGGUGGAUGCCCUGGCAGUCAGAGGCGAUGAAGGACGUGCUAAUCUGCGAUAAGCGUCGGUAAGGUGAUAUGAACCGUUAUAACCGGCGAUUUCCGAAUGGGGAAACCCAGUGUGAUUCGUCACACUAUCAUUAACUGAAUCCAUAGGUUAAUGAGGCGAACCGGGGGAACUGAAACAUCUAAGUACCCCGAGGAAAAGAAAUCAACCGAGAUUCCCCCAGUAGCGGCGAGCGAACGGGGAGGAGCCCAGAGCCUGAAUCAGUGUGUGUGUUAGUGGAAGCGUCUGGAAAGGCGCGCGAUACAGGGUGACAGCCCCGUACACAAAAAUGCACAUGCUGUGAGCUCGAUGAGUAGGGCGGGACACGUGGUAUCCUGUCUGAAUAUGGGGGGACCAUCCUCCAAGGCUAAAUACUCCUGACUGACCGAUAGUGAACCAGUACCGUGAGGGAAAGGCGAAAAGAACCCCGGCGAGGGGAGUGAAAAAGAACCUGAAACCGUGUACGUACAAGCAGUGGGAGCACGCUUAGGCGUGUGACUGCGUACCUUUUGUAUAAUGGGUCAGCGACUUAUAUUCUGUAGCAAGGUUAACCGAAUAGGGGAGCCGAAGGGAAACCGAGUCUUAACUGGGCGUUAAGUUGCAGGGUAUAGACCCGAAACCCGGUGAUCUAGCCAUGGGCAGGUUGAAGGUUGGGUAACACUAACUGGAGGACCGAACCGACUAAUGUUGAAAAAUUAGCGGAUGACUUGUGGCUGGGGGUGAAAGGCCAAUCAAACCGGGAGAUAGCUGGUUCUCCCCGAAAGCUAUUUAGGUAGCGCCUCGUGAAUUCAUCUCCGGGGGUAGAGCACUGUUUCGGCAAGGGGGUCAUCCCGACUUACCAACCCGAUGCAAACUGCGAAUACCGGAGAAUGUUAUCACGGGAGACACACGGCGGGUGCUAACGUCCGUCGUGAAGAGGGAAACAACCCAGACCGCCAGCUAAGGUCCCAAAGUCAUGGUUAAGUGGGAAACGAUGUGGGAAGGCCCAGACAGCCAGGAUGUUGGCUUAGAAGCAGCCAUCAUUUAAAGAAAGCGUAAUAGCUCACUGGUCGAGUCGGCCUGCGCGGAAGAUGUAACGGGGCUAAACCAUGCACCGAAGCUGCGGCAGCGACGCUUAUGCGUUGUUGGGUAGGGGAGCGUUCUGUAAGCCUGUGAAGGUGUACUGUGAGGUAUGCUGGAGGUAUCAGAAGUGCGAAUGCUGACAUAAGUAACGAUAAAGCGGGUGAAAAGCCCGCUCGCCGGAAGACCAAGGGUUCCUGUCCAACGUUAAUCGGGGCAGGGUGAGUCGACCCCUAAGGCGAGGCCGAAAGGCGUAGUCGAUGGGAAACAGGUUAAUAUUCCUGUACUUGGUGUUACUGCGAAGGGGGGACGGAGAAGGCUAUGUUGGCCGGGCGACGGUUGUCCCGGUUUAAGCGUGUAGGCUGGUUUUCCAGGCAAAUCCGGAAAAUCAAGGCUGAGGCGUGAUGACGAGGCACUACGGUGCUGAAGCAACAAAUGCCCUGCUUCCAGGAAAAGCCUCUAAGCAUCAGGUAACAUCAAAUCGUACCCCAAACCGACACAGGUGGUCAGGUAGAGAAUACCAAGGCGCUUGAGAGAACUCGGGUGAAGGAACUAGGCAAAAUGGUGCCGUAACUUCGGGAGAAGGCACGCUGAUAUGUAGGUGAAGUCCCUCGCGGAUGGAGCUGAAAUCAGUCGAAGAUACCAGCUGGCUGCAACUGUUUAUUAAAAACACAGCACUGUGCAAACACGAAAGUGGACGUAUACGGUGUGACGCCUGCCCGGUGCCGGAAGGUUAAUUGAUGGGGUCAGCGCAAGCGAAGCUCUUGAUCGAAGCCCCGGUAAACGGCGGCCGUAACUAUAACGGUCCUAAGGUAGCGAAAUUCCUUGUCGGGUAAGUUCCGACCUGCACGAAUGGCGUAAUGAUGGCCAGGCUGUCUCCACCCGAGACUCAGUGAAAUUGAACUCGCUGUGAAGAUGCAGUGUACCCGCGGCAAGACGGAAAGACCCCGUGAACCUUUACUAUAGCUUGACACUGAACAUUGAGCCUUGAUGUGUAGGAUAGGUGGGAGGCUUUGAAGUGUGGACGCCAGUCUGCAUGGAGCCGACCUUGAAAUACCACCCUUUAAUGUUUGAUGUUCUAACGUUGACCCGUAAUCCGGGUUGCGGACAGUGUCUGGUGGGUAGUUUGACUGGGGCGGUCUCCUCCUAAAGAGUAACGGAGGAGCACGAAGGUUGGCUAAUCCUGGUCGGACAUCAGGAGGUUAGUGCAAUGGCAUAAGCCAGCUUGACUGCGAGCGUGACGGCGCGAGCAGGUGCGAAAGCAGGUCAUAGUGAUCCGGUGGUUCUGAAUGGAAGGGCCAUCGCUCAACGGAUAAAAGGUACUCCGGGGAUAACAGGCUGAUACCGCCCAAGAGUUCAUAUCGACGGCGGUGUUUGGCACCUCGAUGUCGGCUCAUCACAUCCUGGGGCUGAAGUAGGUCCCAAGGGUAUGGCUGUUCGCCAUUUAAAGUGGUACGCGAGCUGGGUUUAGAACGUCGUGAGACAGUUCGGUCCCUAUCUGCCGUGGGCGCUGGAGAAUUGAGGGGGGCUGCUCCUAGUACGAGAGGACCGGAGUGGACGCAUCACUGGUGUUCGGGUUGUCAUGCCAAUGGCACUGCCCGGUAGCUAAAUGCGGAAGAGAUAAGUGCUGAAAGCAUCUAAGCACGAAACUUGCCCCGAGAUGAGUUCUCCCUGACUCCUUGAGAGUCCUGAAGGAACGUUGAAGACGACGACGUUGAUAGGCCGGGUGUGUAAGCGCAGCGAUGCGUUGAGCUAACCGGUACUAAUGAACCGUGAGGCUUAACCUUACAACGCCGAAG